rnacentral:rRNA from 2 species
GCAUAUCAAUAAGCGGAGGAAAAGAAACUAACAAGGAUUCCCCUAGUAACUGCGAGUGAAGCGGGAAAAGCUCAAAUUUAAAAUCUAAUGGUCUUUUUGGCCGUUCGAGUUGUAAUUUAGAGAAGCGUCUUCCGCGCCAGACCAUGUACAAGUCUCCUGGAACGGAGCGUCGUAGAGGGUGAGAAUCCCGUCUUUGACAUGGACCCUCGGUGCUUCUGUGAUGCGCUCUCAAAGAGUCGAGUUGUUUGGGAAUGCAGCUCAAAAUGGGUGGUGAACUCCAUCUAAGGCUAAAUAUUGGCGAGAGACCGAUAGCGAACAAGUACCGUGAGGGAAAGAUGAAAAGCACUUUGGAAAGAGAGUGAAACAGUACGUGAAAUUGUUGAAAGGGAAACACUUGAAGUCAGUCGCGUCGAUCAAGACUCAGCCUUGCCUCUCGGCUUGGCGUACUUCUUGACUUGACGGGCCAGCAUCAAUUUCGUCCCUCGGAUAAUGGCAGGUGAAAGGUAGCACCUUCACGGGUGUGUUAUAGUCUCUUGUCGCAUACGAGGGGUGGGAUUGAGGAACUCAGCGCGCGCCUCACGGCGUCGGGGCUUCGGCCCACGUUUACGUGCYUAGGAUGCCGGCGUA